rnacentral:rRNA from 1 species
CAAAAAGGUUCCCUUCGUCGAGAAGAAAGAGAGAAAGAGAUUGCGCAGCCCCCAGUCCUCAUCCCCGAUUCCUCUCCCUCUCCCUUUCCCUCGUCUGCCGCCGCCAGCCCCACCGCGGACGGCCCUGUCAGAUCUCGUCCCGAUGAAGUCAAGGACGAGCUCCACCCGGACGAGGUCGAUCCGUCCCCUGCCACACUUCUCCAUCGCGUCACCAUAUUCGGAGGAGCCGCCACUGCUGCUGGCGCAUCUGCUCCUCCCGGAGUUGUCGCCAUCGGCAGGAGGAGUGCCGGACCGCGCGCCAACUCGAGGACCGCCGCUCCGGCGGACCGUUGUUUCUGGCCGCCGUCCGCCUCUGGUGCCCCGUCCAUUCGCCACCAGUCACGCACCAGGUAGGAACUCAAGCUCCCUGCCUCUACAUGUUCCCAGGUACGGCAGAUCUUCAUCCCCUUUUUUUCUAAUCUAUAUAUCAGAUAUGGUGGUGUGUGGCAUUUUUAGCUUGGCAGCUGUAGAUGGGAUCAUUUCAAAAGAUUCUUGGACACCCCUUUUAGUUGUCAUCCCUGGAUUAACCAGUGAUUCUGAUGCUGCUGUUAGUCUCUAACCUUUUUCUGAUGUUGACUUAUACAGUUAUACCUGCGUUGCAUAUUUGAAGAGAUCUAAGGUUCAUGAUUGGACGACAUAUUACUAUAUUUGUAACCAUUCUGAAGAUUUAAUUGGCUAUUGCAGUAUGCAGAACACUUGGUUCAUUCCAUAGCAAGAAAAUGGUGGAAUGUUGUUAUAAAAGGUCGCCUCCCUGCUUGUCACCGCGCCAUGCCGCCUCACCCCGGAUAGUGGCCAUUGCUCCGCCCGCGGCGCCUUCCAGCCAAGAAUGCCAUCUCCACCCGUCCAGGUAACUCAGCCGACUGGCCUUUUCACGAUUUAAAACAAAAUGGUGUGCUGAAGAGAGACACCUUACUUUGGAUAGAGAUUAAAAUGGAAUCUGCUUGGACUAUGCUUUCCCAUACAGGUUUGAUUCGUAUAUACAUCUCAAGUUGGCUAUAUCUGGAUGGGUUGCAGUUUGCUUCUUUCAAAAAGACGAGGUGUUCUGGAAUGAUUUGCUUAUCUGCUUUAUGCAUGAUCAUCCAUUUUAUAGAUUAUAUAGGGUGUUGGUAUCUUUCUGUACACUGGCAUGAUCUCUAAAACAAGUCUCAGGCCAUAGAUAGGAUUGUCAUCAUGUAUGUUAUUUAGUUAUAUAGAAAAACAAAUCACAUAACUGCACAACACAGAACAGUACUGCUUCUGAACUGAUGUUGCCAUUGAUAAGGUUACUAAUGUUAGUUGGUGUCGGCUCUAGGGUGUAUAGUUUACACUCUAUGAAUCAUGUCAAGGUUCUGUAGAAAUCGGUUAUGUGUUUCAACAUUUUACAAUGUUAGUCGUUUAUCUAUUAUGUUCUACUCCCUCCGUUCCUAAAUAUAAGUCCAUUUGGAGAUUUCAAUAUGGACUAUAUACGGAGCAAAAUGGAUGAAUCUACACUCUAAAGUAAGUCUAUAUACAUCCGUAUGUAGUGUGUAUUGAAAUCUCUAAAAAGACCUAUAUUUAGAAACGGAGGGAGGGAUUUGUAUCUGUGGGUUUCUCAAAAUAAUUGUAUGUACUGGGAGAGGAGGUUUCCACGACUAUUGAUCAUUGAUCAGUUAGAACUUCUGCUGAAGAAAGGUGCCCUUUGGUUAACAUUUCUGAUAUAUAUAACAUACGACGUUGGAAUUUCCAUUGAAAUUUUGAAGGAAAGUACAUCAAUAGAAUGGCCUUUCUUCCGGUGGCCACCCCCUCCCGCCUUUCUGUUGCGUAUAUUCAUUUUGGAUAUUGACCAUGGUUGCAUAAAUUUAAGUUGCUUGUGAUCUUCUGUCUAUUUCCUGUUAAUUAUAAAUAAUCAGAACCAUCUCUGGUCAGUACACCAUAGCACAAUACCACACGGAUGCUUGGUAGUGCUUUUCAUAAAUUGGUAGUUUUUGCUUUGGUGGAGAGCUUUUGACGAAUUACUGGGUAUGCAAAUCUUGGUUUGAUCCGUCUACUAAUUUAUACUCUAAUGACAUGGAAGUCGAUGGCGUGAAAUGCCUAGCUGUUGACAUCCCCCCUCAGAGUUUUCUAGAGAGGUAAUGGUUUGUGGAAGGGAUUAAGAUGUGCAGACAACGUGGCUGCUCAGAGUAACUGUCCCAGGGCGGUUGACAACCAGGCAGCAGCGCAGAGAAAUUGUCUCAGGAUAGCAUGUUUGAGUGAUGACCAACUAAGGAGAGGUUGAUGAGAUCAAUGACACGAGAGGGGUGGACAGGCAGCUGCAAAGGAUCCGAGGAGCAGCCGGUGAACAAGAGGAGCAAAGACAACAUCUCUUGCGUCACUAUAAACAUCUGCUGCUAGCAGAGCUUCAGCCGGUGAACAGGAGGAGCUUCAGCUCCGUCGUCGUAAACUUCAAAUGUUGGCCGAGCUUCAAACCUCUAGCCUGUCAAGUGUACAAUUGGUCCAAUAGCUCUAGUUGGAUGGCAUUUUUCUUUCUCCCUUAUCCAAGCUAUUUUCGUCCAUCCGAACAUAUGGGGAGGAAAUAGGAGUUGCGGUAAUUGACGUCUGAGCUCAUGCUCAUCUACCCGUUGAAACUAAAUUUAAAAAUAUUUAAAAGAUAAAAACGUGUAUUUUUUGACAUUAAAG